UAUAAAAUCCACCUUUGGAGGAAAACGCAAACAGGUUCCAUGUAAAAAAGCAAGACCCCCUCCUCCUCCUCCUCCGUCAGUCCAGGGUCUCUCGCGGCUCGUCCUCCAUCAUCCGUUCGGACGGACACACACACACACACACACACGCGCGCGCUGAACCGCACUGAGGUCCGCCUCUGUCGCUCUGAUCCCGCUUCCACUCACUGGCGUGCUUUUCUGCGCUUUAAACUCCGAAUGCUUUUAAGGAAAGACGGAGCGAAAACCUGGACUGGAGUGCGGCGACAACUGGAUCCGGAACAACCGCUUUGCAUUCAUGAGACAGACAGAUGUUUUUCAAAGUCAGUUUAUGGAAGAAAAAAGGAUGGCAAAAGUAUUGUGCUGUGAACUGCUGAGCUGCACCUGUGACUGAACACCUGUGUGAACUUCAUACAUCCAUGUGAGAGAGAUCCAGGACGAGAGAGCGCAGGUUAUUUUGGGGACAUAUAGAGAGUGAGAGUCUCAGUCGCUUGACCUCUGACCUCCACACUGCUUGUGUCUUUGUGAAACCAGCACAGCUGCCACGAGUGAGUGUGUUUCUAUAUCCGUCUGUUAAUGUGUGUGAGAGUCCGUGUGUGUGUUUGUCUAAAUAUGUCUCUCUGCUAAAACCACCAUCUCAUCUGUGACUCCAACUGCUUGAGACACUUAACCCGGUGUUCUCACCGUGAGAACGCUUUGUUUUACAUAUGAUUGACAAAAGCAGACAGAGAAAAUACAGAGACAGAUCUAGAAAGAAAACAGAGCUGAACUGGAUUUGAACUCAUUUAAGGCUGUUUAAGGAUUUGUAAUCUGACAGAAUGAAGCCAAACGCUCACAUGACCUACAUCUGUCUGUAUCGGCUGUAUAUUGGCCUCUGCAUGGUUAAAUAUUAAAUAUGAAUGUGUAAUCUAGAAAAAAGGCAGCUAAAGUUCACCUUAAUGAUGCAUUUAGACACUUUUCUCAUUUACAGUGUUUUUUUUUUUUUUACACUAGAGUUACACUACUGUUUUAGCAUUUCAGUUAUUUUCUGAAAAGUGUGUCUGUGCUGUUUUUUUUAAAUAAAUGCCCCAACGUAAAAUAAAUAAAUAAAUAC
ensembl:lncRNA